AGCGACCCGGCAGCCUGUCUGGGGGCUCACCUCCCCAACCCCCUCCCCACAUCCGGUCAUGUAGUGGUGCCUGGCCCCCGCCUGCCCCCAUUUGCAACAGGAGGAGCAUGCCCCAGGGAACAGCUGCUUCUUCGUGAGUGAAGAGUCAUUCAGUGCAAACCAGAAUUUAACCUACAGCCUAGAUCAGAGCUGCAAGAGUAUCACAACCAGGAGAAUGCCAGGGAUAGAGUCAAGAUACAGAAUAUUUCCAUCACUACAAGGAUUCGUCAUGCUGCCCUUUUCUAGCCACACCUUCCCACUCACUUUCUUCCCUUUUCCACUCCAUCCUUAACUCCUGGCAACCACUGCUCUGUAAUCAACUUUCACCAUUUCAUCACUUCAAGGAUGGUAUGUAAGUGAACUCACAUAAUAUGUAAACUUUGGAGAUGACUUUUUUUCACGUAGCAUAAAUCUCUCAAGAGUCAUCCAGUUUGUUCUGUGUAUCAUUUAUUCCUUUCCAUUGCUGAGUAAUAUUUCAUCGUAGGAUACACCACAGUUUGACCUAUCACCCUCUGAAAUACAUCUGGGCUGUUUCCAGUGUUGGUUUAUUCUAAGUAAAGCUUCAAUAAACAUUCAUG